UAACAUGAUAUCUACAGAGGAUGAUCUAGUGCUUCUUCGUGAAGCAGAGCCAAAAAAUUCUUUAAUACUAAUCCCUUUAAGGGUCCCUCGGACUCUUCCGGGAUGGUCAGCCUUUCCAAUAGCAGUGGCCAAGAUAUCCAUCCAUCCUUGAG